GUAGAUGUUGAUUUUGUUAGGAAAGCUGUCCGUGCAAUUGGCCGAUGUGCCAUCAAGUUAGAGCGAGCUGCUGAGCGGUGCAUCAGUGUAUUACUUGAGCUAAUAAAAAUAAAAGUGAACUAUGUUGUACAGGAGGCUAUUAUUGUCAUCAAGGACAUUUUCAGACGUUAUCCUAACACCUAUGAGUCUAUCAUUGCGACUCUCUGUGAGAGCUUAGACACUUUA
rnacentral:misc_RNA from 1 species